GGCUAAACAGUGGCGCAGUUGGUAGCACUGUUGCCCAGGAAGAAGGUCCUGGGUUCGAAUCCCAGCCUGGGGUCU